rnacentral:rRNA from 1 species
UACGGGGGGAGCAAGCGUUGUUCGGAUUUACUGGGCGUAAAGGGCGCGUAGGCGGCCACCGCAAGUCGGUUGUGAAAUCUCCGGGCUUAACCCGGAAAGGUCAACCGAUACUGCGGGGCUAGAGUGCAGAAGGGGCAACUGGAAUUCUCGGUGUAGCGGUGAAAUGCGUAGAUAUCGAGAGGAACACCUGCGGCGAAGGCGGGUUGCUGGGCUGACACUGACGCUGAAGUGCGAAAGCUAGGGGAGCGAACGGG